rnacentral:rRNA from 1 species
ACUGCAAGUCGAGCGAAUGGAUUGAGAGCUUGCUCUCAAGAAGUUAGCGGCGGACGGGUGAGUAACACGUGGGUAACCUGCCCAUAAGACUGGGAUAACUCCGGGAAACCGGGGCUAAUACCGGAUAACAUUUUGAACUGCAUGGUUCGAAAUUGAAAGGCGGCUUCGGCUGUCACUUAUGGAUGGACCCGCGUCGCAUUAGCUAGUUGGUGAGGUAACGGCUCACCAAGGCAACGAUGCGUAGCCGACCUGAGAGGGUGAUCGGCCACACUGGGACUGAGACACGGCCCAGACUCCUACGGGAGGCAGCAGUAGGGAAUCUUCCGCAAUGGACGAAAGUCUGACGGAGCAACGCCGCGUGAGUGAUGAAGGCUUUCGGGUCGUAAAACUCUGUUGUUAGGGAAGAACAAGUGCUAGUUGAAUAAGCUGGCACCUUGACGGUACCUAACCAGAAAGCCACGGCUAACUACGUGCCAGCAGCCGCGGUAAUACGUAGGUGGCAAGCGUUAUCCGGAAUUAUUGGGCGUAAAGCGCGCGCAGGUGGUUUCUUAAGUCUGAUGUGAAAGCCCACGGCUCAACCGUGGAGGGUCAUUGGAAACUGGGAGACUUGAGUGCAGAAAAGGAAAGUGGAAUUCCAUGUGUAGCGGUGAAAUGCGUAUAGAUAUGGAGGAACACCAGUGGCGAAAGCGACUUUCUGGUCGGUAACUGAGACUGAGGGGGCGAAAGCGUGGGGAGCA